UCCAGACUCCUACGGGAGGCAGCAGUGAGGAAUAUUGGUCAAUGGCCGGAAGGCUGAACCAGCCAUGCCGCGUGAAGGUCAGUGCCCUAUGGGCGUUAAACUUCUUUUGUGCGGGAGCAAUAAUGGUCACGUGUGGCCAGACGAGAGUACCGUACGAAUAAGCAUCGGCUAACUCCGUGCCAGCAGCCGCGGUAAUACGGGGGAUGCAAGCGUUAUCCGGAUUUAUUGGGUUUAAAGGGUGCGUAGGCGGGCCUUUAAGUCAGCGGUAAAAAUUCGGGGCUCAACCCCGUCCGGCCGUUGAAACUGGGGGCCUUGAGUGGGCGAGAAGAAGGCGGAAUGCGUGGUGUAGCGGUGAAAUGCAUAGAUAUCACGCAGAACCCCGAUUGCGAAGGCAGCCUUCCGGCGCCCUACUGACGCUGAGGCACGAAAGUGCGGGGAUCGAACAGGAUUAGAUACCCCAGUAG
rnacentral:rRNA from 1 species